UUAGAGGUGAAAUCCCAGGGCUCAACCCUGGAACUGCCUUUAAUACUGCUAGUCUUGAGUUCGAGAGAGGUAAGUGGAAUUCCGAGUGUAGAGGUGAAAUUCGUAGAUAUUCGGAGGAACACCAGUGGCGAAGGCGGCUUACUGGCUCGAUACUGACGCUGAGGUGCGAAAGUGUGGGGAGCAAACAGGAUUAGAUACCCUGGUAGUCCACACCGUAAACGAUGAAUGCCAGACGUCAGGAAGUAUACUUGUUGGUGUCACACCUAACGGAUUAAGCAUUCCGCCUGGGGAGUACGGUCGCAAGAUUAAAACUCAAAUGAAUUGACGG
rnacentral:rRNA from 1 species